ensembl:miRNA
AACAUGUUGUCUGUGGUACCCUACUCUGGAGAGUGACAAUCAUGUAUAAUUAAAUUUGAUUGACACUUCUGUGAGUAGAGUAACGCAUGACACAUACG